rnacentral:rRNA from 1 species
GAUGAACGCUGGCGGCGUGCCUAAUACAUGCAAGUCGAGCGAACAGAUGAGGAGCUUGCUCCUCUGACGUUAGCGGCGGACGGGUGAGUAACACGUGGAUAACCUACCUAUAAGACUGGGAUAACUUCGGGAAACCGGAGCUAAUACCGGAUAAUAUAUUGAACCGCAUGGUUCAAUAGUGAAAGACGGUUUUGCUGUCACUUAUAGAUGGAUCCGCGCCGCAUUAGCUAGUUGGUAAGGUAACGGCUUACCAAGGCAACGAUGCGUAGCCGACCUGAGAGGGUGAUCGGACACACUGGAACUGAGACACGGUCCAGACUCCUACGGGAGGCAGCAGUAGGGAAUCUUCCGCAAUGGGCGAAAGCUUGACGGAGCAACGCCGCGUGAGUGAUGAAGGUCUUCGGAUCGUAAAACUCUGUUAUUAGGGAAGAACAAAUGUGUAAGUAACUAUGCACGUCUUGACGGUACCUAAUCAGAAAGCCACGGCUAACUACGUG